UUGUAGCUCAGCUGGAUAGAGCAACGGCCUUCUAAGCCGUGGGUCGGGGGUUCGAAUCCCUCCAG
rnacentral:tRNA from 2 species